UACGUAGGUGGCAAGCGUUAUCCGGAAUUACUGGGCGUAAAGCGCACGCAGGCGGUCUUUUAAGUUUGACGUGAAAGCUCCCGGCUUAACUGGGAGAGGUCGUUGAAGACUGGAAGACUUGAGGCAAUGAGAGGGGUGUAGAAUUCCCGGUGUAGUGGUGGAAUGCGUAGAUAUCGGGGGGAAUACCAGUGGCGAAAGCGGCACCCUAGCGUUAGCCUGACGCUCAUGCACGAAAGCGUGGGGAGCAAACAGG
rnacentral:rRNA from 1 species